UACGAGAGGUGCAAGCGUUAUUCGGAAUUAUUGGGCGUAAAGGGCGCGUAGGCGGUGCCAUAAGUUUUUCGUUUAAUUCUUCGGCCUAACUGAAGAAAUGCGAAAAAGACUGUGGUGCUUGAGUAUAAUAGAGAGAAGUGGAAUUGUCGGAGUAGCGGUUAAAUGCGUAGAUCUCGACAGGAACGCCAAUGGCGAAGGCAGCUUCUUGGGUUAUUACUGACGCUGAGGCGCGAAGGCAUGGGGAGCAAACAGG
rnacentral:rRNA from 1 species